rnacentral:rRNA from 1 species
GUCCAUGCCGUAAACGAUGUCUACUAGCCGUUGGGGUCUUUGAGACUUUAGUGGCGCAGCUAACGCGAUAAGUAGACCGCCUGGGGGAGUACGGUCGCAAGACUAAAACUCAAAUGAAUUGACGGGGGGCCCGCACAAGCGGUGGAGCAUGUGGUUUAAUUCGAUGCAACGCGAAGAACCUUACCUGGCCUUGACAUAGUAGAAACUUUCCAGAGAUGGAUUGGUGCCUUCGGGAAUCUACAUACAGGUGCUGCAUGGCUGUCGU